rnacentral:tRNA from 1 species
GGGCGCUUAGCUCAGUCGGUGAGAGCGCUGCGCUUACAACGCAGAGGUCGGGGGUUCGAUCCCCUCAGCGCCCA